rnacentral:snRNA from 1 species
AUACUUACCUGGCGGGGGAGAUACCUUGAUCACGAAGGUAGUUUUCCCAGGGCGAGGCUUAAUCAUUGCACUCCUGAUGUGCUGUCUCCUGUGAUUUCCCCAAAUGUGGGAAACUCGACUGCAUAAUUUGUGGUAGUGGGGGACUGCGUUCGCACUCUCCCCUG